GUGCACUGAACAGAGGCAGCAAGUGAGCAGAACAACUCAUCAUGACGGCUUUUUGUCCUUGUCUCCAUGCAAGCCAGGUGUUAUUUCUGUGGUUUCGGACGUUGGUAUUGAUGCACGGUUUUUUAAAAGGGGAGGCUAAAGUCCCAGAGUUUGGUAGACUGCACCUCUCCAGAUGAGAUUUUAAGAGCCCCCGAUUUUCACACAUGGGGAGAGUGAUUGCCCUCACAAACUCUUCCUCCUCAUUGUGGUUUCUAGGUUUUCACUUUGUCAGACAUUUUGAGUUUCGAUCACAAACACUCCACGUUCACAUCACCCAUGCAUGCUGCCCACCCGUAUCCACAAGGCUGCUGUGUCUACUCUGCUCCUGUUUUCCAAAGCACCCCUUCCAUCAGGAAAUGUGCCUUCCAUUCCUAGGGAUGUCAUGAUUCCCAGCUUUCAUAUCUCCUCACAGAGGAGGUUCCCAAAUUACUCUGGGUUCUCAGUCCAGAAGUUGAGCCUUUAAAACCCUUUUCUGUCAUAUGGUCAGUCCGUUGCAGGGUGCAGCCCCUCAGCAGCCAAGAUUCCCUGUGGAUAGCUCUUCAAUCUGAUUGCCUGGGCUUUCUCCAUCAUGAAACCUUUCAUCUCCUUGGUCCUUGUCACACACCCUGAACCCCAAAAUAGAAAAGCCACAACAGAAUGAAGUAGAUGAGAAACAAUCUCCUUGUUUAUAAUUCCGUUUAUUUCCUCACAUACCAGCCAAGCUUCUCAGUCAGGCAGACACAAUAGAUGGAAUGGCAAGGGAAGUGAAGAGUGGAGGCUGCAUCCCUUCAGCCGCCAGCUGAUGUUCUGCUUAUUUCGCAUACCGGAACUCCCAGGCGUCCUCAAACCACAAUCACAGUUGUUGGUUCCAGAAACAUCUUCUUUGGAAAAACAUGUGACAUCAGUUUCCUCAGAGUCUUCCGGACAAUCCAGUCACACAGAACUGACAAAACCUUGUCAGGUGAGAAGAUAAGGAUCUUCUUCAAUACAGAAUAUGUCAACAUCUCCUUCUGAAUAGUUCCGUUUAUUUGCUCACAUACCAGCCAAGCUUCUCAGUCAGCAGGCACAAUAGACUGAAUAGGAAGGGAAGUGAAGAGUGAAGUCUGGAUCCGUUUAGCCUCCAGCUGAUGUUCUGCUUAUUUCCUGUACUGGAACUCUCAGAAGUCCUCAAACCACAAUCACAGUUGUUGGUUCCAGAAACAUCUUCUUUGGAAAAACAUGUGACAUCAGUUUCCUCAGAGUCUCCCGGACAAUCCAGUCACGCAGAACUGACAAAACCUUGUCCAGUAAGAAGGUAAGAAUCUUCUUCAAUAGAGAAUACGUCAACGUCUCCGUGAACGAAGAGAUCUGCUGGUUCCAAGGACUUGUCGUGGAUUUCUGUCCUAGAUACUUUCUUCCGUAAUUCAAGAUAAAGAAAAUUACAAUCUCUGCUGUCCAUUCCAUCGCUUUUCCCUUCAGAAUCAUAAUCAGAGAAUCCUUGCAGAACGUCGUGAGUGUGCUCUCAGCUGCAAUCACCAGAAGGACUCUUCACACUCGGUGAGUCCUCCUCAUUUUAUAGAAGCCAAAGCAGUGACGUAUGCUCACCCCUCCCGCCCCCAGGAGAGAGGUUGCUGGCCAAUGAGCUUGAGCUUCGUCAUCCUUCCAAGCCCCACCCAGUUCCUUUGCUUCCCUUUCACCAACUUUGACUGAAAUGAAUAGGUUACAACCUUUAGCUUUCUGCCCCUUGGAAAACGGAAGCAUUUAGACAUCCGUAUUAAUAUUUGGAUCUAGAGUGUUCGUGUUUUAGCACUUCCUUUUUUGAAAGGAGAAGCAGACGUGUUGUGUUUUUAGGAACACUUCCAAGAAGUUUCUCCUCCUCUAUGAUGAAACCAACACAAGAAAGCCAAAAGGGCGUUUAACCCCUUGAAGCACUGAGAGUUUCCCUGCUGAUAUUCUUAGACUGUUCUUUUUCUAAAACGAGAAAGAGGUGGCUCACCAGGAGAAAGGCAUAGCAGAACCUGGACUGAGACCUACGGGAGACAGCAGGCAGACACACAGGAGGUUGGACGUCGAGAGGAGCACAUCAGUGCAAGAACACAUGGGUGGCUGCCACUUCUCUCCCUUUCCUGAGAGGGAAAAACUCUCGACGCUGAGAGGAAUCCACCAACAGGCACCAGCACUCUGGCAGGCCACCGACCAAUGGAUUGACAUAGAGUUUGGCUGGGGCAGCCAGAGGAGAGCCUGGGCCGCUGAAUAACCCGACUUCAGGGGAAAACUAUUCUCCCUUUUGGCUCCCCCAUCUGCUGAGAGCUACUUCCACUCAAUAAAACCUUGCACUCAUUCUCCAAGACCACGUGUGAUUUGAUUUUUCUGGUACACCUAGGUAACAACCGCGGGAUACAGAAAGCCCUCUGUCUUUGGGUUAAGGAAUGGGUCUAAUUGAGCUGGUUACCACAAAGCCACCUAUAGAUGGCAAAACUAAAAGAGCACAUGGUACCACAUGUCCACUGGGGCUUCAGCAGCUGUAAACAUCUACCCCUAGAUGCUGCCAUGGGGUUGUAGCCCCACAACUUGCCAGUCUGUAUGCUUCCCUAGAGGUUUGAGCAGCGGAGUACUAAAGAAGCAAGCCACACCCCCACUCCACCUCCUGUGAGGGGGACAAGGAAACUUUUCCCAUUUCAACUGGUGGCUCGUCUGGGAUCUCGGAAGAUCAUCCUGGCCUGCUAAGACCCAUCCUGUGCUUAUAAAAACCCCAAGACCCUAGCAGUCAGACACACAGGAGGCUUGACGUCGAGAGGAGCACAUCAGCGGAGGAACACACAGGCGGCUGGACAUGAAGAGGAACAUGACAACAGGCACCAGCACACCAGCAGGGCACCGACUUAUAGAACGAUGUGGAUUUUGCCUGGGGCAGUCAGAGGAGAGCCAGGGCUGCUGAACGGCCCCAAUCCAGGGAGAAACCAAUCUCCUUUCUGGCUCCCCCAUCUGCUGAGAGCUACUUCCACUCAAUAAAACCUUGCACUCAUUCUCCACGUCCACGUGUGACCUGAUUCUUCUGGAAUGCCAAGGCAAGAACCCUAGGAUACAGAAAGCCCUCUGUCCUUGUGAUAAGGAAUGUGUCUAAUUGAGCUAGUUACCACAAGUUGCCUAUAAAUGGCAAAACUAAAAGACCACACGACCACUGGGGCUUCAGGAACUGUAAACAUCCACCCCUACACACUGCCAGUAUGAGAAAAAUUUGCUGAUAUGUUUUCUGCUGACCUGAUGACAAUGUUCCUAUGGUCACACUAACCACUGCUGGGUAAUUUUCAUCAUGACUCUCGUUUUCAUCUGCUGAAACCAGCCUCCCCAAGAAAGACAACUAUUUUCAAACUGAGGAAAUAAAGUGUUACUAAACCACAGUGUUCUCUCAUGGCUGUUCCUGGAGUUCUUCAAAACACUUGAUAUUAUAAAAUAGAAUUAUUACAGAUCACUGUAUGUUAUGGAUUUAGUCAAAAUGAUAAUUUAAAAUAUGGUUUAAAAUAAAAAACUUUAUUUUCCAAAGAAGAUAGUUUUUUAAACAAGAAUAUCCAAUAAAGACAGUAUGAGGUCAGCUGACUUUAGUGUUGGUGUAUGUGUAUGUGUGUGUGUG
rnacentral:lncRNA from 10 species